UACGGAGGGUGCAAACGUUGCUCGGAAUCAUUGGGCGUAAAGCGCACGUAGGCGGCUAGAUAAGUCGGGUGUGAAAGCCCUGGGCUCAACCCAGGAAGUGCAUUCGAAACUGUCUAGCUUGAAUCUCGGAGGGGGUCAGAGAAUUCCCGGUGUAGAGGUGAAAUUCGUAGAUAUCGGGAGGAAUACCAGUGGCGAAGGCGCUGACCUGGACGAAGAUUGACGCUGAGGUGCGAAAGCGCGGGGAGCAAAC
rnacentral:rRNA from 1 species